rnacentral:tRNA from 1 species
AUAGCUCAGUUGGUUAGAACACCCGUUUAGUAAGCGGGAGUCAUGAGUUCAACUCUCAAU